CAUCGGAAAUCGGAUUUGAGAAAGUGAAUAUACUAUAUUUAUCUACGUAAAAUGUAGAUCGACGCUAUAUCAUUUAAUUUCACAAAAUUAAAUGUCUCGUCACAUUUAUUAUUUGGUCAAAAUUCAUUGAUCGGGCAUAUUUAAUUCAUGAUUUUUACAGUAUCAUCAGAGGCUGCAGAGAUUGGUUAGGAGCAGAGCUGUUGCAGGCUGCUCUUCUGGCUCGUUGCAGCCCUCGGGUGUGGAAGAAGGAGUGCAGAAGUUGCUGCUAUCUUGCCCCUUUUGGCUAGUCUUUGGUCUUCCAACUAAAGUUUGGGGCAAUGACUGUGAAGUGGGCCCGCUGGUGUGCUGUGAAGUGGGCUCGCUGCUCUGUGCCGUCUGUUCAUUUGGGCCUGGCCCGCAGGGGUGUGAUUUUGAGCUCGAAGGACACAGGCCCAAAGUUAGCAUUUCUGAAAUUUGUAAUAGGAUAGUGUUUCCCCCCCUUUUUUUUUCUUCCAUUCUCAAAUCACAUGUGAACCAUUUAUUUCGAUUAAUGUACCUUGUUUCCGAGCA